UCGGCGCCGCGUGCAUAGGCACCCGCGCCAUGGCCAGAGGCCAGCCGCGCUGCACCGGCGGCCGGGGGCCUCGCCUAUCUAUUUCGCCGAUCUGAGGCUCCGUCGCCACCACCGCAAAUGCGGGCGCGAGGCGGAGGAGGCGAGGGAUUGGGCAGAUGUCGUCGUUCCCGGGCUCCUCCACAACGACGCCGGCACAGGGCCCCAGCAACUUCGACAGCAAGCCGCGUCACCACCAGUGACUCGUGGCCUGCAGCUCCAUCGAGCUUCUCGCCGAUUUAGGGUAGCAGAUUUACUAGGUGGUGUAUUUGCAAAUGUUAUGGGCUUCUAGAACAGGUUGCGUUUACUCUUGUUUGCUUCUAGUUUUAGUCUUAUUUUUAUUUCCUCUCUAUAGGCUCAAAUGCACUCGAGCUUACACCAAACUUGCAAUUUUUCUUCACGAUUGUAGGGUCCUACCUGGGGCUCCUUAAUUUUAUUGCUGCCAUCAGUUUUGCAAUUGGAUCUUAACCAAAAACCAUCAUACUUCUAUUGAAUUUCAGGCAGUUCUAGGAGAUGCUAGCUUGAUGGUGUCAGGAGCAAGCAAGACAUUCAAAGUGCUUAUGGAAGCUGUGUUUUGUUUCAAAGAUGCAUUAGAAGGAGUCGACUGCUCUGCUGUGUUCUUGGUAUGCAGUAUAAGCUGUGGCUUGUAGGCUAGUUCUUCUCAGUCAAGUCUUUUGGGUGUUGGCAAACUAAUUUUUGGGUAUUAGCAAGUUUGCCGCAUGGUUCUUGUAUUUGCUUGUUGAGAUGGAACUCUUUGUUGUCUACACUUGUGGAAAAAACAUUGGUUUGACUAAUGUUUAUGUGGAUAAUGCAAUGUUUGUAUCCACAUAUUAGAUCAAUAUCCAUAUUAUUAUGGUUGAUGCAUCUUAUGAUGAAUGUUGAUGUACUAAUAAGAAUUUUGAAUUUCUUGUGAAUGAACAUUUGAAUUUGAACA